AGUUGGGGACCAAGCCCUGCUGCCUGUCACGUCUCUGUAGGAUCAUGAGGCUCUCGCCGAAGCCACGCUGAGAACCCGUGCGCGGACGCCUGGCCGAGGUGCGGUCCCUGGGAGGUGGUGUGUGCAGGCAGACACACAAUGGUCUUUUAGACACCUUACCGCCGCUUUCCUGGGCUGAACCCAGGCGGCAAGGCCGAGUUCUGAGCACCCAGGCGGCAGCCCUGAGAUCUCGCUCAGUUGGUCUGGACCUCACAUCACGUAGGGAUUGGGGUUCCAAGAGCUCCUUUUGUAAUGAAGAAGGGCCUUCCCCAUCUCUGAACACCGGGAGCCUGGCACCCUAGGACUGCGUGUCCUGAAUAGCAAACUGGUUUUCCUAGGAUGCAGUCUUGGCCCCACCCUGGGGAGCUCUGGACUGGUGCAGUGUCUCUUCUGGUCAGCUGACAAAAGCCAUGGCAGCAACAUUGCCAAAGCAGGAGGGACAGAGGGCGAAGGACACACCCUGCGAGGUCAAAGGUCAGGCCUUCUCAGCAGCAGAACGGGAGAUCCUAGCUGGAGAUCUAUCUGCCCUGGAGAAGUGUGCAAAAGUGGGAUGAGAAUUCCUCAUUCCAUCUCCUCAUCCGCUUCAGUCUUCUAUCACAACACAGACAAGUUUGUCUCUUGGUCACACAUGAGCGUUCUCAAUUAAUUAACUUAUUUUAAAAUGUGCUUUACUUUUAAGUGUGUGUGUGUGUGUGUGUGUGUGUGUGUGCAUAUGAAUGCAGGUGCCCUUGGAAACCAGAAGAGUAACAGGGGACUGUGAGCUACUCAAAGUGGAUGCCGAUAACCAAACUUGGUCUCUGCAAGAGUAGUACUCCAUCUUAAUGGCCGUGCCAUCUCUCCAGCCCCAUGUGCUCUCUCUGUAGACGCUGAGCCCCUUAUAGCCAGCAUUUGUCUUCAUUAUUUCUGUAUUACCAGGAUAUAAUUUAGAACUUGGCACACAGUAGGUUCACAAGAUAAAUGAGUAUACCUUGAAGUCUCUCAACAGAUGUGUACUGUCCUUUCUCUAGAAUGACACUCAAGACUUGCUACCAGAAAGAAACAGAUUCUGAUUCAGAAAUUCCUUGGCCUGUGAAGCCCAUCUGAGCAUUUGUUACAUCCCAGACACUUUCGGGGCACCAGAGACCCACGGUUCCAUGCCCAAGUUGAUAAAGAGUAACCACACACCUCACUGUAGCUUUCUUUGGCCCCAGUGUCCCUGGAAUAGAUAGUGCCCAGUGCAUGGUUUGUAGUCAGACAUGGGUAACCCUGUGUCUAAAUGAGAGACAAGUUUAGAAAGCCUGGUUUUAUCUUCAAACAGCACAGAAACUGUCUGUUGCCGGGACCACAGGAAGCCCAGCAAGGCCCAGUUACAGAAGAUGUGAUAUUGAUUUCACAGUCUCUGUGUGUUCCCUGGACCUGUGGGUUCUCCAGUUAUUCUUAUUCUUAUUUUGUUUUUACUGUUAAGGCCAGCCUGUUACCUGGCCAGCUUGCAAAUUUUACUAAUAUUAUAAGGAAACUUUCUCCUAUGUUUCUGUUGCUACUAGGAAACUUUCUCAUGCCCAAGCUGCUUACAUAUUCUGUUAUGUCCUGUGCCCUUGGAAACCAAUCACGAUAGAAAUCAGAACUGCUUUGUGUAGUUACCCACAAUAAGCUUGGACCCCAACCAACUACCCAGCAGCACUUCCUGCGCCUGUGUGUGAGCUUUUAUGGUAUUUGAUUUUAUAAGUUACCCCUGGGAUGGACCUCCAACAUAAGAGAGACACCCGCACCAAUAUAAGAAACUGUCUGGAAUAAGACUUCUGUUCUGAGUAGUGGUUGAAUAGAGUUUAAGUUCCUAAGACCUCCCUGGGAACUGACAUCCUACUUGGCAGAGACAUGUAUGUGGGAAACUGACAUCCUGGUUGGCAAGUUAAGACAUGAAUGUUAGACAAGGCAAGUCCCCUACCUCAGUUGAAUACCCCAACCAAUGAGGGCAGCAUAAGUGUACAACAAAGACGUGUUCCCAAGGAAAUCCCUAUCCCUAAAUCCUGAUUAGUGGAAUAACUUGGCCCAGAUGUUGGUGGAUUUUAGGCUUAAAGCCCUGUAGGAUCUUAACUCAGCUCCUGAGCCUGGAUCGUGGCCCUGAUCAACCAGCCCUGGGCCUAUACUUCACAAACAAUCCAUCUCUGACUGAGGUUGGUGUUCAUGUGGGUUGUGAGGUGACUCCUGGACCCCCAACGUUAUAGAGAUAUGGAUUUUGUCUCUCAACUUGAUCUUAAGAUCCUCAAAGAAAGGGAGGCAUCAGAGUAUCACAUACAGUCACUUUCUUUGAUUGAGUCUCAUCUGUGAGAGUUGGUUCCCAUUGCUGGCUUGAUUAAGAAACACCUAGGGUGUUAAUGAGGCUCAUCAUGGGUGUGUCUGUGAGGGAGGAAGACCCACCCUGAAUGGGAGUAGAGCCAUCCCAUGGGCUGUUGUCUAGGACUAAGUAAAGAAUAAAAGGAAUCAGGCAUGGUGGCACACACCUUUACUCCCAGAACACAGAGAGGGGGGAGCAGACAGACCUGUGAGGUCAUAAGCCAGCCUGCUUGGUCUACAUAUUGAGUUCCAGGCCAAGUGGGGAUACACAGAAAGCUCUUGCUUCAAAAAACCAAACAACAAAACGUUAAAAGAGAAAAGCCACUAUUCACCUCUCUACGCUUUCUAGUCUGCUGAGAUGUGAGUGGGUUUUCUCCUGAUCCUGCCGCCUCAGACAAGCUGGGCUCACCACCACGUGCUUCCUGCUCUGUUGAAUAUAUGUCCCCUCGAACUAUGCACCAAAAAUAAAUCCUUCCUUCAGUUGCUGUCUA